CAAACUGGGAUUAGAUACCCCACUAUGCCUAGCCCUAAAUCUAGAUACCUCCCAUCACACAUGUAUCCGCCUGAGAACUACGAGCUCUAACGCUUAAAACUCUAAGGACUUGGCGGUGCCCCAAACCCACCUAGAGGAGCCUGUUCUAUAAUCGAUAAUCCACGAUUCACCCAACCACCCCUUGCCAGCACAGCCUACAUACCGCCGUCGCCAGCCCACCUCUAAUGAAAGAACAACAGUGAGCUCAAUAGCCCCUCGCUAAUAAGACAGGUCAAGGUAUAGCCUAUGGGGUGGGAGAAAUGGGCUACAUUUUCUAACAUAGAACAAACGAAAAAGGACGUGAAACCCGCCCUUAGAAGGAGGAUUUAGCAGUAAAGUGAGAUCAUACCCCCUAAGCUCACUUUAAGACGGCUCUGAGGCACGUACACACCGCCCGUCACCCUC
rnacentral:rRNA from 1 species